rnacentral:rRNA from 1 species
GAUGAACGCUGGCGGCGUGCCUAAUACAUGCAAGUCGAGCGAACAGACGAGGAGCUUGCUCCUCUGACGUUAGCGGCGGACGGGUGAGUAACACGUGGAUAACCUACCUAUAAGACUGGGAUAACUUCGGGAAACCGGAGCUAAUACCGGAUAAUAUAUUGAACCGCAUGGUUCAAUAGUGAAAGACGGUUUUGCUGUCACUUCUCGAUGGAUCCGCGCCGCAUUAGCUAGUUGGUAAGGUAACGGCUUACCAAGGCAACGAUGCGUAGCCGACCUGAGAGGGUGAUCGGCCACACUGGAACUGAGACACGGUCCAGACUCCUACGGGAGGCAGCAGUAGGGAAUCUUCCGCAAUGGGCGAAAGCCUGACGGAGCAACGCCGCGUGAGUGAUGAAGGUCUUCGGAUCGUAAAACUCUGUUAUUAGGGAAGAACAAAUGUGUAAGUAACUAUGCACGUCUUGACGGUACCUAAUCAGAAAGCCACGGCUAACUACGUG